UACGGAUGUUGGUUUCCGUAUUGGGGUGAUGAUUAAAACGAGCGGUUGGGGGCAUUGGUAUUUGGCCGCGAGAGGUGAAAUUCUUAGACCGGCCAAGGACUAACAAAAGCGAAGGCAUUUGCCAAGACCGUGUCGAUUAAUCAAGAACGAUAGAGAGAGGUUCGAAGACGAUCAGAUACCGUCCUAGUUCUCUCUGUAAACUAUGCCAACCCGAGAUCAGUCUAGAGUUAUUAGUCACGCUCUAGAUUGGUCCCCCUGGGAAACCUCAAGUGUUUGGGUUACGGGGGGAGUAUGGUCGCAAGGCUGAAACUUAAAGGAAUUGACGGAAGGGCACCACCAGGGGUGGAGCCUGCGGCUUAAUUUGACUCNACACGGGAAAACUCACCGGUUCCGGACGUUAAAAGGAUAGACAGANUGAUAAAUCUUUCUUGAUAU
rnacentral:rRNA from 1 species